AUUGAACGCUGGCGGCAGGCCUAACACAUGCAAGUCGAACGGUAACAGGAAGAAGCUUGCUUCUUUGCUGACGAGUGGCGGACGGGUGAGUAAUGUCUGGGAAACUGCCUGAUGGAGGGGGAUAACUACUGGAAACGGUAGCUAAUACCGCAUAACGUCGCAAGACCAAAGAGGGGGACCUUCGGGCCUCUUGCCAUCGGAUGUGCCCAGAUGGGAUUAGCUAGUAGGUGGGGUAACGGCUCACCUAGGCGACGAUCCCUAGCUGGUCUGAGAGGAUGACCAGCCACACUGGAACUGAGACACGGUCCAGACUCCUACGGGAGGCAGCAGUGGGGAAUAUUGCACAAUGGGCGCAAGCCUGAUGCAGCCAUGCCGCGUGUAUGAAGAAGGCCUUCGGGUUGUAAAGUACUUUCAGCGGGGAGGAA
rnacentral:rRNA from 1 species